rnacentral:rRNA from 1 species
GAUGAACGCUGGCGGCGUGCCUAAUACAUGCAAGUCGAGCGAACAGACGAGGAGCUUGCUCCUUUGACGUUAGCGGCGGACGGGUGAGUAACACGUGGGUAACCUACCUAUAAGACUGGGAUAACUUCGGGAAACCGGAGCUAAUACCGGAUAAUAUUUCGAACCGCAUGGUUCGAUAGUGAAAGAUGGCUUUGCUAUCACUUAUAGAUGGACCUGCGCCGUAUUAGCUAGUUGGUAAGGUAACGGCUUACCAAGGCAACGAUACGUAGCCGACCUGAGAGGGUGAUCGGCCACACUGGAACUGAGACACGGUCCAGACUCCUACGGGAGGCAGCAGUAGGGAAUCUUCCGCAAUGGGCGAAAGCCUGACGGAGCAACGCCGCGUGAGCGAUGAAGGUCUUCGGAUCGUAAAACUCUGUUAUUAGGGAAGAACAAACGUGUAAGUAACUGUGCACGUCUUGACGGUACCUAAUCAGAAAGCCACGGCUAACUACGUG